UAAAUGCUUGUUGAUUGAUUGACCUCCACCUCCAACCCAAGCCCUGGGAGAGGAAAGGCCAAGGGGAGGGAUGAUGGAUGGGAGGGGGGAGAUCUGGGUUGGAGCCUGUCAGAGGAGGCUGUUGUUUUUAGGAUCACCACAGCUUGGAGAAGCCUGUUAUUUUCUAGGAAUUUCCUAGGGGUCUGAGGAGCUCUGGAAUGAAAGCCAGCUGUGGAGGCUUGUCAUCCUCAGGGGAUAUUUUAUCUUGGCUCCUAUCCCUUCUCCUCUCCCCCCUCCCCUCCCCAGCCUGCUCUUAGCUGCUUGACUUGGAUGCAUUAACAGCUCAUUUUACAGAUGAAGAAACUAAGGCAAACAGGGUUAAGUGACUUGGCCAAGAUCACACAAUCAUUACUCUAUUGGACUCUAUGGGAAAGUGACCAGCUGUUUACAAGAGCUUUGCCUGCUCUCAAAAUGUUUGAUCCCCUGACACUGCCUCAGCUCCUGGUCAUGGGUCCAGAUCUGCUUACGUCCUGUGAUCAUCUGCAGCAAGAUAUGGGAAGAUUUCUCAGGUUCCCAGAACACAUGAGGGAUUAGACAUUAACUUCUGUUCAAGAAAGGAUUGUCACAGAAAAACUGUUAAGGAGCAUUUCAAGUUAAGGGCAGUGUGUGCAACAGUUUGGAGGGAUGUUUUUGUAGUUCUGUUCUGUCUACACUUUUUCCGGUAAAUAUCCUUUUGUUAAAGGUAAUUGAUGUAAACUGGUUUUUUUCAUGUUAUUGAAGACCUUACUGGUCAAAAUCAUAUGAGGGCAAUAAUCACCAGUCAAAUGAUAUUGAGGAAAAACAACCAAUCAAUUGAUAUAGAGAUAGUAAGUGGUCUAUUGAUACUGCAGGGAAAUUCACUGUAUCAGGGCUCUACAAUAGUCAUAGAGAUAGAAACUCAACUCUUUAGGACUACCCUUUGAACUUAGGGGAAGAAUAGUAGCCUGGCUCUGGAGACUCAACCUUCCAUUGCAAGUGGGAGUUGGGAUAGUGACUCCUAUAGCCUACAUAUGUGCUACUUAUAGCUUUAUCUUGCAUGCAUUAUAUGUAUACACGUCAUCUUCCCCAAUAGAAACAGAAUAGACUGCCUUAUUUUUGUCUUUGUAUUCUCAUUGCUUGGCACAAUAUGGAUACCUAAUAAAUGCUUUUAGACCUAAAAAAAAAAAUAGCACCUCAAGCCACACCACAGAUCCCAUCCUGCUAGGUGUAUAAUUAGAAAAUUACAAAAAAAUUGAACCUUUGGACUCCAUCUCCCAGAAUUCUUUUCUUGUCCCAAGAAUCCUUUUUCUUUCAUUCACGUUAGCGGUUACAUUAUUGUUUUUAAGCUGUGUGUAACUCAGCCUUGCUCUGUCUUUUUCCAGAGUGAGCAGCUGGGUAAGCUCUCUCUCUCUAGCCUUUUAUUUUCCUUUUUUCUUCAAGUUAUUAUUAAUAAAUCUUAUUAAAUAUAAUACUUGGAGUACUUUGGAUAUUAAUUUUUAAUCUACAUAGGGAUAAAACAAGGAUUCCACCAUACUGUGGAAAAUCCACAAUAGACUGACAACUAUAUUAUAAUAGACUAACAUCAGUAUUAAGUUAUUUUUGACCCCCCAAACUAGCAUUCUAACAAGGUUAUACAGUUCCCACCUUAAAGAAGUUGUCCCUGUGCCCUAAAAGUCCAUAACAGGUCAGUAUAGAUCUUUCUGAGCUCCCUGGCUGUUUGACCAUUCACUCAAUAUAUGAAACAAAGACUCUGAUUCAUCCCCAUGGGGGGAUGGGAGAUGAUCCUCUUGGUUUAUUUGUAGAGUCUUAACCCAUGUAGACACACCUGAUAAGUUUAUCAACCCUUUCAGAUGAACCCCUGUGUCCCAGAGAAGGAGAAGCUAGCUAUGUCAAAGUCUUGCCAUUCAAUCAACUGGAAGACCUAGUCCCAGGGUUGCUUAUAGGAUCAGUGAUCUCAAGUUAAAAGGAACCUCAACGGUCAUCUAAUGUAGUCCUUUCAUUUUUACAAAUUAUGAAACUGAGGUCCAGUAUGGCAAAGUAGUUUGUCCAGUGUCACAAAGGUUAUUAGUAGCAGGGCUAGGAUUUGAACCUAGACCAAGGUAAUUUCAAACCCAGAGAGGACUCUUUCUACUAUUCCAUGCUGCAUCUAUGCUCUCUGACUUUUUAAACUUAGAUGAUUGCAACUUUUUGAGGUUGAAGAGCAUAACCAGCCCAAGGUAGCUAGAUGGCACAGUCAAUAGAACACCGAUCCCGGAGUCAAGAAGAUCAGAGUCAAAUCCAGCCUUUGACAUGUACUAGCUGUGUGACCUUGGGCAAAUCACUUAACUUCUCACUACCUCAGUUUCUCCAUAUGUAAAAUGGAGAUAAUAGCCACUACUUCAUAGAAUUAUUGUCAUGAUAAAAUGAGAUGACAAACAGAAAGUGUUUCAUGAACCUUAAAAUGCUAUAUAGAUGCUAGCUAUUAUUAUUAUAGUAUCAUUAUUGUUAUUGUUGCUAAUAUAUUCCUGCUUUCUACCACUGACUCAUUGGUUUUUUUCCAGUUGUCCAAUGGGAAUCACAUGACUUCCUUCAUUUAUCUCUUAAAGUCCUUUGAAAGACCCAAGAGAUAUUAGGUUUAGAAAGGCAUUAAAGAGUAUAAAACCCUUGGGGAACACAGCAGAAAGCACUUUAUAAGUGGGUGUUAGGAGACAUUCCUUUUCGUCUGAACUCUGCCACUUACUAAUUGGUGGCCCCUAGGGAUGAUUUCCUCUGCUAUAAAAAGAAAGAGUUGGAUUAAAUGAUGUUUAAGGUCCCCUUCUGGUUCCAACAUCCCAGGAUUCAAGUCAUCCAGAAUCCCAAAAUGGUGGAGUUUAGAGAUGAUCCAGUAGGAAGAUACAUGGUAAAUUGUCGAGAGAAAAGAGCCCAUGACUUGGAGUCAGGAAGACCUCAGUUCAGAUCUGAUCCAUCACUUUCUAUCUGUGUGGUCCUGUGUAGCCUAUCUCAGCCUCAGUUUCCCCAUCUACAAAAUGAGGAUAAUAAUAGCAUGGGCUUGUUGUAAUGAUCAAAUGAGGUACUAUUCAUAAAGUGCUUUAUUAACCUUCAAGCAUUAAACCAUACCAUAGUAGAUUACCAUAAAGUAUUAAACCAUAAAGAACUAACCUUAAAGCACUAUAUAAAUUCUACUGUUGUUAUUGUUAUCAUGAUUAGUCCAACUCUAUCAUUUCACUGAUGAAGAUAGGAUAGUGGAGGUGACUUGUCCAGGAUCACCCAGCUAAGAAACAGCAGAAUCAAGACUCAAACUCAGGUCUUCUGACACCAAGUUGAGAGCCCUUUUCAGUAUCCAUAUUGUCACCCAACUGUGAAGGAUUCUUCUCAUUAAAUUGCAUGGACCAACAAGUGUGGGGCUUCAGGAACUUCAGGAUGCCCUCUGAACAGAGAGGGGAGGGGAGGCUUGGUCAAGAAUAAAGCCCUACACAGCUUGCGUGACUUCCCAGAGCCCUUUGUGCCCUUUCUUCACUCCUCCUUGCAACUGGCCCUCCUAACUGGAUUCUCCUCACCCAGCCCCCACACAUGACCCUUCCCUCCUCUCUGUAAGUUCUUUAUGCCUGCUCCCCAGGGUCCUGCCCCGAAGAUAAAUGGAGUUAGUAAAUGUGAUAGGCACAGAUUUUUAUCUAAUCGGAUUCCACAGCACAAGACAAAGUGCAGUGUGUUGAACUGGGAUGUGUAAUUAAUUAUCUCCCAAGCAUGUAGCCUGUGGCAGCCUGGCCGGGGGUUGGCUUUGGCAUUUUAGAUGUACAGGGUGAGAAGUAGGGGAGCUCUGAGAAUCAGAAGUUUCAGGGCCCUUGGGUUGCCACAAGAGCCGGAGCUAGAGAUGGAAGCCCGCCCUUUCUAGGGCUUGGGAGAAGGACAAGACCCUGAUCUGUCGGAGUCCCUAUUGGCUAACAAUUUGUCAUUUCUUCCACUCUGGAAAAUUUGGGGAAGGAUAAGGGGGCACUUAGAGGCCCCUAAUGGGUUCCCUUAUUUAGAUAGAAUAUAAUUGAUUGCAGUGUUUUCCUUGGAAUCAAUCAGAAGUCAUUUGUUUGAGUGCUGACUGUGCUACUCACUAAACAUAUAACUCUGGGAAAGUCACUUAAUUUUCCUGAGCUCUGGUUUCCUUAUCUGUAAAAUAGGCAUGAGGGUUAUUGUGAAGGCCAAACAAGAUGUUGGAUAGAAAACAUCUUAUAAUUAUAAAGUAUUAUAUACAUGCAAAUUGGUAUUUUAAUUCAGGAGGCUUUAUUUUAAUUUAAAUUAAAAAAAUUAACAAGCACUUAUUUUCCACUCACUGAAAAAGAAAAAGAAAUUCCUCAUAACCAAUGUGCAUAGUGAAGUUAAAUAAAUUUUAAUCCAAUAUUCAAUCCAAAAACCUGUUUCAUUUUUUUAAAAAACCUUUACCUUCUGUCUUAGCUUCCAAAUUGGUAUUGGUUCCAAAUCAAAAGAGCCACAAUGGCAAUGAAGCUUAAAGUGAUUUGCCUAGGGUCACACAGCUAGGAAAUGUUUGAGGUCAAAUUUGAAACCAGGACCUUGUAGCUUUAUGCCUGUUUCUCAAUCCACUGAACCCCCUUGCUGCCCUCUAUGUUUCCUUUUUCAUCUUGUAUCUAUCAGCUCUCCAUCAAGGGUCAGGGAGCAUGCUUCCUCAUAGGGCUGUGGUGAGGAUCAAAUGAGAUAACAUUUGCAUAGUGCCUGGCACAUAUUGGUACACACUUGAUAAAUGCUUCUCCCCUUCCUCUUCCUUUCCCUUCAUGAGGAGUCCUCUGAAUUGUGAUUGAUCAUUUCACUGAUGAGAGUUCUUAAGCCUUUGCAAUAUUGCCAUUGUUGUGUAAUGUGUAAAUUGUUCUUGCGACUCUGUUCCCCUUACUCUGUACUAGUUCUUACAAGUUGGAGUAAGUUUCUGAAGUAUUAAAAAAUGCCUCCCCCUUGACUAUUCACUUUAAAGAAGUCAGUGCUGGCAUAGAUAGUACAAAACAGCAAAUA